CAAGUGGAACCUGUUCUCAAUUUCCACAGACGUGGAAUUAUCUACAGUUAUUUUAAUAAUGUUUGCUAAUUUUAAUAGAUAAACCCGUCUGCUAGCCUUGUAUUCUAAAUAAUCCAUGGUUAGUUACGUCAUUAGCAAGGCCUCCCGGCCGUGACGCUGCCUAUGCCAACUAAUUCCUUCCGGUAAAGCGAGAAGAAGUGCGUCUCCUGAUUGGCAGGAAGGACAUCUCGUCUCAGCAGCGGCUCUCCGUCCUCACCAGACGACCGUUCGAGGUUUGCUGCCUCCUGUCCCUGGCACAGGUCUGUCGUCCCGUCCCUGCGAGCGCGCACCGGAUCGGUGCGCGUGCCACUGACUUCUCGUUCUCUUCCGUCGCCAUAGCAAAUCAAGAGGAGGAGGUGCAGUUGAGUUCCGGCCAGUGGCUGAGGCGUUCAGUCACAGCCCGCCUGGAAGAGCCUCGCCAGCUCCUCGCAGUCCGGGUCGAUGAGGUCGGCCGGCCUUUCCCCGCACUCGUUCUCCGCGUCCGCGCUGGCGCCCUGUGAGAGGAGGUACCUGAGCGGGGGGAGAAACGGGACACGUCAGCACGCGUCGCAGUGGCGGCCCCUCUCCCCGCGCCCAGGUUAAAACGAUUCGAAUGGUUCUGUUUCUGAACUAAAUGUAUAUUCGGGCCAGAUUUACUGCCAUGUAAGUAUUGUACUUUACUGGUAUAUAAACUGCCUUAUCUCUUUUGUC